rnacentral:rRNA from 1 species
UGGGGAAUAUUGCACAAUGGGCGCAAGCCUGAUGCAGCCAUGCCGCGUGUAUGAAGAAGGCCUUCGGGUUGUAAAGUACUUUCAGCGAGGAGGAAGGCAUUAAGGUUAAUAACUUUAGUGAUUGACGUUACUCGCAGAAGAAGCACCGGCUAACUCCGUGCCAGCAGCCGCGGUAAUACGGAGGGUGCAAGCGUUAAUCGGAAUUACUGGGCGUAAAGGGCAUGUAGGCGGAUGAUUAAGUUAGGUGUGAAAUCCCGCGCUCAACUUGGGAAUUGCAUUUAAAACUGGUCGUCUAGAGUAUUGUAGAGGAAGGUAGAAUUCCACGUGUAGCGGUGAAAUGCGUUAGAGAUGUGGAGGAAUACCGGUGGCGAAGGCGGCCUUCUGGACAGAUACUGACGCUGAGAUGCGAAAGCGUGGGGAGCAAACA